rnacentral:rRNA from 1 species
UACGAAGGGGCUAGCGUUGCCCGGAAUCACUGGGCGUAAAGCGCACGUAGGCGGAUUGUUAAGUCAGGGGUGAAAUCCUGGAGCUCAACUCCAGAACUGCCUUUGAUACUGGCGAUCUCGAGUCCGGGAGAGGUGAGUGGAACUGCGAGUGUAGAGGUGAAAUUCGUAGAUAUUCGCAAGAACACCAGUGGCGAAGGCGGCUCACUGGCCCGGUACUGACGCUGAGGUGCGAAGGCGUGGGGAGCGAACGGG